AAAGCUGAAUGUAUGGUAAGAAUAAGGAUCGGCUAACUCCGUGCCAGCAGCCGCGGUAAUACGGAGGAUCCAAGCGUUAUCCGGAUUUAUUGGGUUUAAAGGGUGCGUAGGUGGCUUUUUAAGUCAGGGGUGAAAGACGGUAGCUUAACUAUCGCAGUGCCCUUGAUACUGAAGAGCUUGAAUGAACUAGAGGUAGGCGGAAUGUGACAAGUAGCGGUGAAAUGCAUAGAUAUGUCACAGAACACCAAUUGCGAAGGCAGCUUACUAUGGUUAAAUUGACACUGAGGCACGAAAGCGUGGGGAUCAAACAGGAUUAGAUACCCUGGUAGUCCACG
rnacentral:rRNA from 1 species